rnacentral:lncRNA from 1 species
AUCACAUCUCAGGGGACUGGAUUCCAGGGCGGUGCCCAUGAGCUCUCAGCAGGAAAGGCAGGAUUGAAGAAUUGAUCAUGGGGACAACUGGCUCAUGCAGCAGGAUGCAGAGAAGGCAAAAGGCCCAAGGUGGACCACCCAGCAACAGAACCCAGCUGCCUGGGUCCUUCCUGCCCCAUCUCUCCCAGAAUCUGCAGGGUCUCAGACACCUGGGAAAAGGUGGUGAUUGCAGAGAAGGAUUUAGAGGUUUCUCCCUCAGAAGAAAGGUGGCACUGAAGACACAGGACAGGGUUAAGCGAGGCUGGUGGACAGAUGGCCAUGAAUCUUUGAAGCCAGCCGGCUGCCACACCUGUGGACCCAGUCCAAUCCACACACACUGCUAGGUCUGAGCCGAGAGGGCCCUGCUCACAGCGUGACGUUCUUACUCCACCAGACAGCCACAGUGGACAGUGUGUGCAGGUAGUUUCUUAAAGAAAAG